rfam:Segniliparus rugosus ATCC BAA-974 genomic scaffold acqcO-supercont2.1, whole genome shotgun sequence.
GCCCCGGUAGCCCAACGGUAGAGGCGACGGACUCAAAACCCGUACAGUGUGGGUUCGAAUCCCACCUGGGGCA